ACGAACGCUGGCGGCGUGCUUAACACAUGCAAGUCGAACGGAAAGGCCCUGCUUUUGUGGGGUGCUCGAGUGGCGAACGGGUGAGUAACACGUGAGUAACCUGCCCUUGACUUUGGGAUAACUUCAGGAAACUGGGGCUAAUACCGGAUAGGAGCUCCUGCUGCAUGGUGGGGGUUGGAAAGUUUCGGCGGUUGGGGAUGGACUCGCGGCUUAUCAGCUUGUUGGUGGGGUAGUGGCUUACCAAGGCUUUGACGGGGAGCCGGCCUGGGAGGGUGACCGGACACGUUGGGACUGAGAUGCGGCCCAGACUCCUACGGGAGGCAGCAGUGGGGAAUGUUGCACAAUGGGCGGAAGCCUGAUGCAGCAACGCCGCGUGCGGGAUGACAGCCUUCGGGUUGUAAACCGCUUUCGCCUGUGACGAAGCGUGAAUGACGGUAAUGGGUAAAGAAGCACCGGCUAACUACGUG
rnacentral:rRNA from 1 species